UCCCUGGUGGCUCAGAGGGUAAAGCGUCUGCCUACAAUGCGGGAGACCCGGGUUCAAUCCCUGGGUUGGGAA
rnacentral:tRNA from 1 species